rnacentral:sRNA from 1 species
GUUCGGGUCGAACGCAGUGAGACAACGGAGCCGCUUGCGGCGACGGCCCGAAGGGCGAGGCGAAGCCGAGUCAUCCUGCACGACCCACCA